GUGGGGAAUUUUGGACAAUGGGGGCAACCCUGAUCCAGCAAUGCCGCGUGCAGGAAGAAGGCCUUCGGGUUGUAAACUGCUUUUGUACGGAACGAAAAGGCUCUGGUUAAUACCUGGGGCACAUGACGGUACCGUAAGAAUAAGCAACGGCUAACUACGUGCCAGCAGCCGCGGUAAUACGUAGGGUGCAAGCGUUAAUCGGAAUUACUGGGCGUAAAGCGUGCGCAGGUGGUGCUGUAAGACAGGCGUGAAAUCCCCGGGCUUAACCUGGGAAUGGCGCUUGUGACUGCAGUGCUGGAGUGUGGCAGAGGGGGAUGGAAUUCCGCGUGUAGCAGUGAAAUGCGUAGAUAUGCGGAGGAACACCGAUGGCGAAGGCAAUCCCCUGGGCCUGCACUGACGCUCAUGCACGAAAGCGUGGGGAGCAAACAGGAUUAGAUACCCCUGUAGUCC
rnacentral:rRNA from 1 species